AUUGAACGCUGGCGGCAUGCUUUACACAUGCAAGUCGAACGGCAGCGCGGGCUUCGGCCUGGCGGCGAGUGGCGAACGGGUGAGUAAUGCAUCGGAACGUGCCCAGCUGUUGGGGAUAGCCCGGCGAAAGCCGGAUUAAUACCGCAUACGACCUGAGGGUGUAAGCGGGGGACCGAAAGGCCUCCCGCUCUUGGAGCGGCCGAUGUCGGAUUAGCUAGUUGGUGGGGUAAAGGCUUACCAAGGCGACGAUCCGUAGCUGGUCUGAGAGGACGACCAGCCACACUGGGACUGAGACACGGCCCAGACUCCUACGGGAGGCAGCAGUGGGGAAUUUUGGACAAUGGGGGCAACCCUGAUCCAGCCAUGCCGCGUGCGGGAAGAAGGCCUUCGGGUUGUAAACCGCUUUUGUUCGGGAAGAAAUCCUCUGGGCUAAUACCCCGGGGGGAUGACGGUACCGGAAGAAUAAGCACCGGCUAACUACGUG
rnacentral:rRNA from 1 species